rnacentral:lncRNA from 1 species
AACCAAAAAGAAUUCUCAUUCAAGAAUAAAAGAAAAAAAAAUGAAUCCAAAGUGCAGAAGUUGAUAAAAGAUGUGGACUGCUCAAGACAUAAUUAAAGUCACAAGCUCUGCUUGUCUCGUCUUGAUCUAAAAAAGCUUAAGAAGAUUGAACCAACACCUGCAACUAACAAGCAUCAAGGUUUAGAUCAAAGUCCACAUGAAGAACCAACCAAGACUCAAGAUCAAGCUUCAGAAGACUUAUAGAUAGGAAUAUUGUAACUCGUAGUUGAUAGACUUAGUUAGUCUUUUUUUAAUUUUGAUUUUGAUGUAAUAACGGGACCGCAGACCAGAACCCCGAUGACACCUCAAGAGGCCCAAACUUUACAAAAAUACAGGCUGAAGGUAGAAGACCCAUAAUCGAGCCUAAAUGAAAACAAACUGACAUACAAACCAAAGAGAUAUGCCAAAUGAACUUGAUCGUCAAUAUCUAACAGCUUGACAUACAUGAAAUAUUAAUUGCUUUCAAAAACCAUCUUACAUUCGUUCCUUGCUAUCCAAUCCCAAUUUUAUGUUAAAUACUGAUAUUAUCAAAAAUAAAGCACACCAUAUAAAACUCAUCACUUAAUGCAAACCUUAAUGCGGUACAUCAUAUCUAAGCCCAUACUAAGCCCAUAUGGAUUGAUUUUAUGAAAACCUUCAGCAUUAAUCUCCUGGAUUCCUCUUCCUUAGUAUUCGUGUCCUAAUUUACACAUGCCGACAUAUUUAAGCACAGAAUAUAAACCAACGUAUGUUGAAUCUUCAUGCAUCAGCCUUCAAAUACUGCACAUAAUCACUAUUGUAGAAGAAAUUGUGUAUUCCUUUUCAAAGAGAAUGUGACAGCAUAUCCAACAGUCAACAUACACAAUAGAUUUCAACCAUUUUACAGGCUAACAUACUACCUUUAAACACCUAUUCCACCAUUACAAACACAACCUUAGGCUAAUAACAUAAAUAAGCAAGCAAUCUCAUGAAGCAAAGCUGAAUUACUAAAGAAUUAAAGGAGUUUAAUGACAUAAAAUGACAUUUGAUAAACAACAUGUCAUGAAACUUUCCAUCAGAUUAUGUAACUUCAGAUUUCCAACUCUUACACAUCUAGGGAUCUAGAAAGUACCUAGAAAUUACAAAAGGAAGAAGAGGUGAAAGCGAUGAAUAGCAACAUCAGGACAACAAUGAGACAAUAUCAGCAGAAAUCAACUCCACCAGCAAAAGAAUUGUAAGCCACCACCAAACUCAAGUAAAAAAAUUCUUUAACCAACAGAUUCAGUCCAUUUGUGAAGUCCAAACCAAUAAAAUGACAAAUCCUAGAGAAUCAGCCCCAAUUUCUAACUCAAACCAUUUUCAAACUCCAAAUGAAUCACAAGUUGCUUCAGAGGCUGAAAAUUUCAGGAAUCAAAGAAGGAAAUUCAAUAGAACAAUAUUUUUCUCUCAAAAGUUCUAGUUGUCUGUAUUUUGUAUUUUCAGCUCUUAAGUUCUCUGCCUUGAAAGGCAAGGUAAAGAUGCCUUUAUAGGCAAACAAAUAGGGCAGACCUAAAAGUUCAGUUUUGCACUUCUAGUACCUCUCUAAUUUUAUUUUUUGCUUAAUCUAAGAAGCUUCCUAAACAGUUAACAAAGAUUUCCUCACCUAAAUUCCCUAAAUUACCCCUGAAACCUUGUUAAUUAACCCAAAAGCCCAAACGGGUCAACUGGCUAAGCUAAAUGGGUUGUAGCCCCCAAAUUGGAUCCUUAUUUGGGCAUGUUGCUAUUUAUCAACCAACUAAGAAUACUUAGGGGCUCCGGAAUAAAACUAACCUAGAAUUUUCCCCAAAUGAAGAAAACCCAAACCCAAUUCUGUGAAAGCAAACUGAAACAAAAGCAAAAAAUGAAUGAAUUAACCACUAUAAUUUCAUAAUAACAAUUAACUAAUCAUUGACCUAAUUUUAUUAGCUAGAUGAUUUAACUAACGAUGAGACAACAAUUAGCUAUUAACAUAGAGAUUAAAACCAAGAGAAGAAAGUGUAUUAAAAGGAACUGAGAUAUUAUAGCUAACAAAGAAAAAAACGAGGAACCAGUUUGAACUACAGAAUACCCAAACAACAUUUGGACCAAUCCAAACAGAAGGGGAUGAGGAGGAAAAUGAACCACGGAAAGGAAAUCAAUCAAGAGAGGAAGAAAAACUUACCCAGUCACGCUCGAAUGAGGUCGCUUUUGAUAAAUCAAUAGGUUUUUAGUCUUGCAUAAGGCUGGUGGACUUCUUCAAAUUAUUGACCCGAAUAGCCCUUAAUCGUGUGUUUCCAUGUGAAAACACACGAAAAAAGGCCGUUACAGUCCAAAUUAUUCAAAAAACCGAUGAUUUGCACUUUGGUUUUUUAGGGUUCCUAUAUUCAAAUCAAGAUUCGAGAAGAUGCGGGAAGAUUCGAAGGAAAUGAAGUAUAUUUAUCGAAUGAGGGGGAGACGGGGGUUCAGGGUUGUUAAUUUGGUGGUAACUAGGACUGGUGCCGUCACCUUAAGGCGGUGGAAACAGAGGCGGCGGGCCAGGGUUUUUGGAUGGUCUCUGAGAUAGAGAGGAGUGAAGCAGACGAUGUAGAGGGGGAGAGUGAUUUAGACACUUAAUAUUUAAGUGUCCCCC